AUUGAACGCUGGCGGCAGGCUUAACACAUGCAAGUCGAACGGUAACAGGUAAGUACUUGUACUUAUGCUGACGAGUGGCGGACGGGUGAGUAAUGCUUGGGGAUCUGGCUUAUGGAGGGGGAUAACGACGGGAAACUGUCGCUAAUACCGCGUAGAAUCGGGAGAUGAAAGUGUGGGACCUUCGGGCCACAUGCCAUAGGAUGAACCCAAGUGGGAUUAGGUAGUUGGUGGGGUAAUGGCCUACCAAGCCGACGAUCUCUAGCUGGUCUGAGAGGAUGACCAGCCACACCGGGACUGAGACACGGCCCGGACUCCUACGGGAGGCAGCAGUGGGGAAUAUUGCGCAAUGGGGGCAACCCUGACGCAGCCAUGCCGCGUGAAUGAAGAAGGCCUUCGGGUUGUAAAGUUCUUUCGGUGACGAGGAAGGUUGUUGUGCGAAUAGCGCAACAAAUUGACGUUAAUCACAGAAGAAGCACCGGCUAACUCCGUGCCAGCAGCCGCGGUAAUACGGAGGGUGCGAGCGUUAAUCGGAAUAACUGGGCGUAAAGGGCACGCAGGCGGACUUUUAAGUGAGGUGUGAAAUCCCCGGGCUUAACCUGGGAAUUGCAUUUCAGACUGGGGGUCUAGAGUACUUUAGGGAGGGGUAGAAUUCCACGUGUAGCGGUGAAAUGCGUAGAGAUGUGGAUGAAUACCGAAGGCGAAGGCAGCCCCUUGGAAUGUACUGACGCUCAUGUGCGAAAUGCGUGGUGAGUAACAGGAUUAUAUACCCUGGUUGUCCAAGGGCGAACUCCACGGGGAUAUCAGGCUGAUCGAUACCCGCGACCUCGGAGAAAAAAACAAAUAACCAGCUUUUGGUUCCAUUUGUGUUGGUUA
rnacentral:rRNA from 1 species